ACCUGGCGACAGGGAGCGGAACCCGAAAGCCUGUCUCAGUUCGGAUUGGAGUCUGCAACCCGACUCCAUGAAGCUGGAUUCGCUAGUAAUCGCGCAUCAGCCACGGCGCGGUGAAUACGUUCCCGGGCCUUGUACACACCGCCCGUCAAGCCAUGGAAGCCGGGGGGUGCCUGAAGUGCGCUGCCGCAAGGAGCGCCCUAGGGUAAAACCGGUGACUGGGGCUAAGUCGUAACAAGGUAGC
rnacentral:rRNA from 1 species